GACGAACGCUGGCGGCGUGCUUAACACAUGCAAGUCGAACGGAAAGGCCCUGCUUUUGUGGGGUGCUCGAGUGGCGAACGGGUGAGUAACACGUGAGUAACCUGCCCUUGACUUUGGGAUAACUUCAGGAAACUGGGGCUAAUACCGGAUAGGAGCUCCUGCUGCAUGGUGGGGGUUGGAAAGUUUCGGCGGUUGGGGAUGGACUCGCGGCUUAUCAGCUUGUUGGUGGGGUAGUGGCUUACCAAGGCUUUGACGGGUAGCCGGCCUGAGAGGGUGACCGGCCACAUUGGGACUGAGAGACGGCCCAGACUCCUACGGGAGGCAGAAGUGGGGAAUAUUGCACAAUGGGCGCAAGCCUGAUGCAGCAACGCCGCGUGCGGGAUGACGGCCUUCGGGUUGUAAACCGCUUUCGCCUGUGACGAAGCGUGAGUGACGGUAAUGGGUAAAGAAGCACCGGCUAACUACGUG
rnacentral:rRNA from 1 species